AUCCGUUGAUUUCAAAAGCAGAGCCGCGUGUCACCUCUUCCACUCCUCUCUUUCGUUUCUUGAUUUUAUUUCAAAUUUGAAUCUCGCUGUGUGUAUCUGUCUCUAUCUCUCCUUCUUACUCUCAUAUGUUUCUCUCUCAUAUUUUAACAUAUAGCCAUUGAUGAUUGAUUGUUCUUGCAGAAGCUUGAUUCUAGGGUAUUUUGAGGAGUAUAGAUUUAUGAUUUAGCUGUUUGACUGACGAUUCUCUCUGUUGUGUGCCCCUUUUUUCUAGGAUUUCAAGCGCUGCUUCGCCGCUGGGAAAUCAAUUAUCCUAUUAAAUCUAUCUUUCUCGCCGGAGCUGGUUGUGUGAUUGUGUAUGUUUAUACUAGCAAAUAUUGAAGCAAGGCUGGGUGACCUGGGUCCAUGUGAUCCUAGAACACCAUAAUUGUGCAAACCUGCCUCUUCGUACUAGCACACACUCUCCAACAUGAACUGGUAUCUCUCUCAUUUUUUAUGUGUUUUUAACAAUCUCUUUAGAUAUUGUUCAAUCUAACAAUCUCUUUAGACAUUUAUUGUUGUUGUCUUAAUUUUUUUUGUAUUUGUAGCUCAUCUUCUACCCAUCCAGAAGGUUUCUCUCUGCCCCUCAUAAUCCUAUAUAAGCACGUCUUUUUGAACCUAUUUUUGUUUUUCAUUACUGUAUAUUGGAACCUCAUGUUCUGUAGAUACUAUAUAUUACUUUUUCGUUCUAUGUUUCAUUAAGCAGUUAACUUUUUGAAUACUGUAUUGAAUUGCCUACCGACUUCAUCCCCAGUGUUCUGUUAUUCUAGCUGAAGAUGUUCCAAAAUACACAGAACGAACUGGAAAAAGACAUAAGAGCAUGGAAGAGUCAUAGCCAGUGUUAUGAAAAGCGCAAAUCGGCUCUAGGCGGUGAAAGGACCUUCUAGCGCUUAAGCGGUAAAGCGGACGCUUAAGCGGAUUAAUAAAAUAUAAUUAAAUAUUUAAUUUUAAUAUUAAUAUAUUCAAAAAUAAUGUUAUAUUGUGGUAAGAAUUUAAAUUUUUAAAAAUAUAUAUAUAUUAAUUCUUUAAUAUAAUUAUAGUUAUAUUAUAUAAAAAAAUAUUUUAAAACUGAAAAAUUAGCAAGUCAAAAUCAUUUUGACCGCUUAAGUACCGCUUAAUCCGCUCAACGACCGCUUAAUCCGCUUAAUAGUCCGCUUAAUUUUCAAAAACGCUUAAGAACCCGCUUAAUACAAAAUCGAGGCGUUUUAGGGCCGAUUCCGCUUAGGCGGCCGCUUAAGCGGCCGCUUAAUGCGCUUUUUAAAACACUGGUCAUAGCUUGCUCAUGCCAAAUAGAUUUGACUUUCGCGGUUGAGAGCACAUUCACAAAAAAAGGAUGUUUCCAACUACUUUAGGUGAGGAGGAAUCCCCCUUGCCCCCAUUACUUGCUAAUUGUUUGAAUAUGUCGGGUAAAAACCUUGGUAUCUCUGUUUGUGAAAUUCCGCCUAGCAACUCUGGGCCUGUCCAGGAUGUCAGGAUCUCUUUCCAGCAAAAGAGAAUGCUUGGCUUUGUGACUUCCGUUUUUGCUGAGACAGUAAAGCAAAUCUGGCCAAAAGGAAUCCUCAUUUUGUGUGGGGUGCCCAUGUUCUGGUGAAGCCUUGGAGAAAUUAAGGCCUUUUGAGAGGGCUGAAAACUCUGCGACAGAACCUUAAAUAGUUGGUCACAAUGAUCUUCUUACUCAUGCAACUGCCAUGGAUAUUUACAGAAAAAAAUACAAGAGAAGUGCGGCGAAAAGGUCGCUGAGUAUAUUUGAAGUGGCUAUGGAAAAGCAACAUGAUUCAAGGCUCGAAAUUCAACCUGUACUUGACGACGUUUGGAACGUAGAUGAUAGAUCAACAGGUUUUGAGCUUUUAUAGAUCAAAAGUGAAUUGAAGGGCUCAUUACGAAAGAAGAAGCAGAAGCUUCACUCGAAGAUAAUGGAAGGUUUCAGGACACGGGGACAUUUGUACUGCGAUUCCCUACAUGAAGGAGCUGGCCCCAUCCAGAUGCCGGCAGUCUUUUAGUCACUUAUAACGGUUGUGAUUAUUCACCACAAAUUUCUGCGAUUUGAUCUAUAGAUUUGUGUCUCUUCUUUCUAAUAAAACAGAGCAUAUCUGAAACUGAUGCGAGAAUAUCCACUUUCUAAUCUUCGGUUGUCAUUUGCAAAGUGUGGAUGUUCAGUGUUCA